rnacentral:rRNA from 1 species
GCGACCGGCGCACGGGUGAGUAACGCGUAUGCAACCUGCCCGAUACCGGGGUAUAGCCCAUGGAAACGUGGAUUAACACCCCAUAGUACUUUUAUCCUGCCUGGGAUGUGAGUUAAAUGUUCAAGGUAUCGGAUGGGCAUGCGUCCUAUUAGUUAGUUGGCGGGGUAACAGCCCACCAAGACGAUGAUAGGUAGGGGUUCUGAGAGGAAGGUCCCCCACAUUGGAACUGAGACACGGUCCAA